GUGGGGAAUCUUGCGCAAUGGGCGAAAGCCUGACGCAGCCAUGCCGCGUGAAUGAUGAAGGUCUUAGGAUUGUAAAAUUCUUUCACCGGGGACGAUAAUGACGGUACCCGGAGAAGAAGCCCCGGCUAACUUCGUGCCAGUAGCCGCGGUAAUACGAAGGGGGCUAGCGUUGCUCGGAAUUACUGGGCGUAAAGGGCGCGUAGGCGGACAGUUUAGUCAGAGGUGAAAGCCCAGGGCUCAACCUUGGAAUUGCCUUUGAUACUGGCUGUCUUGAGUACGGGAGAGGUGAGUGGAACUCCGAGUGUAGAGGUGAAAUUCGUAGAUAUUCGGAAGAACACCAGUGGCGAAGGCGACUCACUGGCUCGAUACUGACGCUGAGGUGCGAAAGCGUGGGGAGCAAACAGGAUUAGAUACCCUAGUAGUCC
rnacentral:rRNA from 1 species